ensembl:piRNA 21ur-7349 ncRNA
UAGAUAGGCAGGAUUGCAAAA